rnacentral:rRNA from 1 species
AUUGAACGCUGGCGGUAUGCUUAACACAUGCAAGUCGAACGGAAACGAUGGAGAAGUUUACUUCUUCAGGCGUCGAGUGGCGGACGGGUGAGUAAUGCAUAGGAAUCUGCCCUAUAGUUUGGGAUAACUACUCGAAAGAGUGGCUAAUACCGGAUGUGGACUACGGUUUAAAGCAGGGGACCUUCGGGCCUUGCGCUAUAGGAUGAGCCUAUGUGGGAUUAGCUAGUUGGUGAGGUAAAGGCUCACCAAGGCGACGAUCUCUAGCUGGUCUGAGAGGAUGAUCAGCCACACUGGGACUGAGACACGGCCCAGACUCCUACGGGAGGCAGCAGUGGGGAAUAUUGGACAAUGGGCGGAAGCCUGAUCCAGCAAUACCGCGUGUGUGAAGAAGGCCUUCGGGUUGUAAAGCACUUUUGUCAGGGAGAAUGGCAGUUGAGGUUAAUACCCUUAGCUGUUGAUGUUACCUGAAGAAUAAGCACCGGCUAACUCCGUGCCAGCAGCCGCGGUAACAC